UCGAAAAAGUUGCAAAUGUUUUGCCCAAUACUGUAUCUUGAAAAAAAAAUCAUGUUUAAGAAGAAAUGUGUGGUGAAUUGAAGCAACGCGUCAUAUGUCAUAUUCGAACUGAAAAUUAUUGAAAGUUUUGCUGCCGAAAUUUCAAAUUUCAUCCAAAUAUUCUUCUAUACCACACUUCAAUUAUCGCAAGGAUGUGUUCAGUAAAACUUUUGACUGUUGAAGAUUGGUCUAGAUUGCUGGAGAUGAUUUCCAAAUGUCUAUAUUCGAUAAUUGCGACAGGAAGAAGAACCAUAUGAACAUAACAACGUCCAAAGAUUGGAGAACCAUUGGACAUCAUGGGCUCUUCUUCAACUCACUCUGAGAAUUCUUCUAUAAAAGUUUUUCAAUGACUACUUCAAAACCCAUUCUCAACAAUUUGCCAAAAUUGUCAUCUAGUGUUAUGAAUAAACUUUCUCGAUCUUUUUCUCAACAACUGUUACUGUAUGCCUACAUAAAUAUCCAAAGAAAUCACUCAUCUUCAAAAUCUUUUACGAAUUUACUGAUCAAUGAUCACGAGAUAAAGAUUUUCAGGAUCUUCAGGCCGCCACACAUAAUCCGAUUGAUACGUUGAAAAAAAUUACAAGCAUAAUUAUAACAAAACAUUAGUGAUCUACACAGUAAAGCUGAUCAUCUUAAUAUUUGAUGCUUUUAUUACACUUGUUUUUACUAUCGACUACCAUCCUAUUCCACCAAAUUAUUGUGCCUUUUAAACAAUGUAGCAAUUAUUUAUACAGCUUGCUAUAUUUAUACAUAAUUCUCCUGUACGUUAAACAAUGACUUUGAAAUAUGCGCAAUUUACUUAUAAGUACGUUCAACAUUAACUUUCUUAGCUCGCAAUGGUCAUCAACAUUUUCAUUUUGAAUUAUUUUCACUUAGUUUUAACUCACAAUAUUAGGGUACAGUACUUAAUAAUCAAUUGAAAAUAUUGUUCAAUGUGUUGCCAAAAUCGGGAAGAAAAUGUUGCCAAAAACGGGUGUUGCCAAAAUCGGAGGUAGACAAAAGCGGGUGUUGCCAAAAUCGGGAAGGCACUGUAUCACUUUUGUUUCUUUUGAUUGAGUUAUAGGCUCGGCCACUUGGCGCGGUUCGCCAUGUAAAGUUUGUUUUUCGGAUCUUCCAACGGAUAGACUGUUUGUCUUGACUUCAGACAUGAGAAUGUUUAUUACUUCAAAAAUUAUCUUCCAUGGUUCCUAUCAGGAGACACUUGAAGUACCGAUAUAUAAAAGCGCUAUGUACAACGAUCACCAAUCAGCGAUUGUUGUUCAAGCGAAAGCGGGAGAGACAGAGUCCCUCAAAACUGCAGGACUUUACCCACAGCUGGUAACAGCGUGGUUCAAUAAAUUUGCAAUGCGACACUUUUCGUUUGUCGCCAAGAGUGCGAGACAUUGAACUGAAGGUUCAAUGUCGGUUUGAAUUUACCUUCUCAGCAUGAUUCCACUGGUGUGGUCUGCUGGAAAUGUAUGAUCGAAAGGAAUGUGAAUAACAUGUGCGAUGCGCAUGUUACAGGCCUGUGAUUUCAAUUUGUCUAGGUACUUUGAAAUAGUUGGUUCCCUUCUCUUGGUUCCGGGAUCCAGGCAGGAGCUAGGUUCCAUCCACAUAGGGUGGCUGUGGAGCCAAAGCCCUCUAUGACCAGAAGAUCGGGAAAAUGAUGAUAGGGGGGUAAGUAUCCAAACUCUGGGUGACUCAUGGUCUUCCUCAACAAACGUAGUAGAGUUAAGUUGAAUUGGGGUCCUACAGUUACUGACUAUCUUAGAGAUUAUAUUCUUCUCUUGUUGUUUCUAUUUUUUCUAAAUCUAAUCACUGUUGAAAAUUUAAAAUCAUUCCAAGUUGAGAGCAAUAAAUUCAGAAGAAAGGGACUCUUGAAGUGAAAUAAAAAGGCGUUUCAUGAUCAGUGCUGGUUCUUGCUGAUAAAUCAAUGGUUUGUAGAUCUUGGGAUGCUUCCUGAUUGUUUGGGCAAACUGACGGUAAUCGGUAAUCAACUGGCGCCCGGUCUACUAGACCGAUGAAGGUGAUAUUUAAUCAUUGAUUAAAAGACUUGUUUGGUUCGAAGACCCAAAUUGAACUCUUUUAUUCAAUGAAUCUGGAUUCCUUAAAUAGGUCUAAAAGUGUUGCACCGGUAUGUGCUACAUUAAUGGUUUUGCCUAGAAUUUAUAGGUGAAGAGUUCUGGAGCACAUAUGCUGAGGUCAGCGUGACAAAAUAAUUGUGGUCCGAUCGUUGCCUAUCGCGAUCGAUCGAACUGUUAAUCGAGCUCCCCGCAAACGCGUGGAACCUAGAUGUUGGUUCAUCGUUCGCGUCAGCAUAUAUUUUUAUGACCACCGAAUUAACUUAACUGAAGAUGGGCACGUCUUUUGACUGUGCACCACACCGGUAACAAUUAUGUGAUACCCGUCCCUAGAAUCUGAGUUGAACUGGAUAGUUAUAGGUACCGGGGCAACUGGGAUAAUGAGCUCAGUGAUUAGAGAAGGUGGAGGGGGAGAGUAGACCUUAACAGCCUUCAAUGGUUUUCGAGCCUCUGCGUUGAGCUUAGACUGGAUUUGCAUAAACUCAGUCAUGAGCCCCCGCGCUUCCCUGUACGUAUCAACAAACUGGGUCACAGAGCAAUUUAGUUGCCCUAGUUGCCCAGUAAUUGUCUCAAGAACUUCAGCCUGAUGCGACGCAGACCGGUCCCUGGACUCCUAAACACGAACGAUGCCCUCAUGCUCAAUCAUGUUCCCGAGACGGGAUAGGCUGACAUCAAGGGCCUGGAGGUCGGCGAAAGUGACCAUUGUUUGUACUUGGGACAGAAAUCUGUUACUGGUGGAGGGUGAGCAAGUUUUAAAGAGGCCAGUUAGCAAGGCAAACAAAGAGCAGCCGUGCGUCAUCUUUCUAAUCACAUCGUUAUAAUCCUUAAGGUUUCGCAUAGCACACGGAUUACCUGUUGAGCUCUGAUCUGUUGUUUGUUAGCCAGUAGCAGGAUUUGACUGCCAGUUGAGAGGCCUUCCCCCGAAUUUCCACGUUGUGCAACCGCACAUUGUUUGAAGGUCUAGCUCACUUGAUUCUCCGAAUAAGAUUAGUUAGACCUUUUCCAUCUAACUAGGGAUUUCAGAGGAGAGGUAGAGGGUAUGGGUUUUUGGCUAGGCAGUGCGCUUCCUCGCUCUUCCAAGGGCGAGGUUAUCCAUCCUUUAGGGGUGGAUUGAAAAAAGCCGGGCAAUUUCGUGCGAGUUGAAAUUUGAAGCUCCUUCAGAUAGGGCCCCAGUUCGAAAUGGUCCAUGGAGCGCACCUGGGGCAGAAUCUUCUCGGCAAUGCUCUUACCUUUCAAGUGAGACUCCUCUGAUUCGAGUGAUAUAAACCCUUCCUCCCUCAGUUUAUCAAUGUCGGAUAGGUAAACUUCUCUUACAUCUCCAUUGAAACAAUAAGAAACAAACCCUGAUGUGUUUAUUGUCCCUGGAAUCGAGAAGCCCCUGGAGUUCUUUGUCUUAAUCGUAUUAAUCAGAACUGUUUUAAUACAGGGAUUUCUGGUGUACAUUCUUAGUCUAAAUUGUUUUACAUACCAACCCAAGUUUCCUCCUGACAAGUUGUGAGGGGAACGAAGAGACUCACUUAUGAAGAAGGAUAC
rnacentral:lncRNA from 1 species